rnacentral:tRNA from 1 species
CUGAAUGAGCGGGCCUCGAUCCCGCG